CCUGGGUCAUGAGUUCCAAACCUAUGCUAAGCCUCAGAUUUUAAAUGUAAUAUGCCAAAACCUUUAUCAGCGCACAGAAAUGAAUCAAGGCCACAAGCUUUAAAAUACACUACCGUGAAAGAGUUCAUCAUACCAACCCAAGCACAUUCCAAAAGUAAAUAAAUGGGUGUCUCAAUGCUCCCAAGCAUUAAUAAAAGGGCUUGAAACAACAACAGAAAUAAAAAUCCCUCAUGACAUUCAAACAGGAUCCUCCCCAAAGAUUUAAAUAUGCCAUUACUGUCCUCUCAGUGCCACUAACAGCCUUACAAAAACAAUGUUAUGAAAUUUUAGCAUAAGAAGGUGACUGCAUAUCUUGUCAAGAGCUAAAAAUCAAACAGGGAAGCAGAGUUCUAAAUUUCUUUAUAAUUGCCUCAUUGAAUUAAUAAUACUAAUAACCAGGAGGAGAGGUCCAGCUUAAUUUUUCACAAACGUAGAUUAGAUGAUUUUCCUAAGGCCCCUAGCACAAGCCAAGAUCAAAAUUCCUCAUGGUUUCCCCUGGCUUAUGGUUUGAACACUGAGUCAUCCGUGCUUGAUCAAAACAUGGGUACCCUUGAGGUCGCACAAGUGAUAAAGUCAACUAAAAAAAGAGACCUCAGGAAAAAACCACUCAUUAUAUAACGUUUCUAAGAGCGAAACAUUUCUCUUCAACUGGAUUCCUAAGACAUUUUUGUACAUUAAAUUUAUUGACAACAACAUAACAGAUCAUAGAGGGAACACACAGACCACAAUACUUGGGUGGAAGGGGACGGCGUUUAACCUGAUACAAGUCUACGGAGUUACGGAAUCAAUUGACUGAAAUAUCAAAUUCUCUGCCAGAAGAAUUUCCAAACACCGGGGUUAUCUCAAAGAUAAAUGGGGUCGGCUCAAACUUCCAGGCUGAACCUCAAUUGCUGGCCCCUCGAGCUUAACAUGCAAGUAUUCAUUAUGGUCCUUUUGUCUGUGGAAUGACCCCACACACCAAGCCACAGCCAAGGGAAUAACAAGUGACGUUUCAUGGGUCAGUGGAGUAUGCAUCAGGGAAUCAGAGCCUGGAUUCAUUCAGCUGCCCACUCCCCUGCUGUGAUGCUGUGACCACACCUGCCUUCACUCCAGGAGGGGUCCCGGGCACGGGCAUGCAGGAGGGACUAACCAGUGGUAGAGAAGAUGCAUCAUGACAAGAGUCCCCUGCAGGGUGGACAACGAACCAAAGUCUGGACCCAGAGGUAUGUCCUGGACCCUUAAGACAGAAGAUUUCAAAAGGUGUAGA
ensembl:lncRNA